rnacentral:rRNA from 1 species
AUUGAACGCUGGCGGCAUGCUUUACACAUGCAAGUCGAACGGCAGCGCGGGCUUCGGCCUGGCGGCGAGUGGCGAACGGGUGGGUAAUGCAUCGGAACGUGCCCAGUAGUGGGGGAUAGCCCGGCGAAAGCCGGAUUAAUACCGCAUACGACCUGAGGGUGAAAGCGGGGGACCGAAAGGCCUCGCGCCAUUGGAGCGGCCGAUGUCGGAUUCGCUAGUUGGUGGGGUAAAGGCUUACCAAGGCGACGAUCCGUAGCUGGUCUGAGAGGACGACCAGCCACACUGGGACUGAGACACGGCCCAGACUCCUGCGGGAGGCAGCAGUGGGGAAUUUUGGACAAUGGGGGCAACCCUGAUCCAGCCAUGCCGCGUGCGGGAAGAAGGCCUUCGGGUUGUAAACCGCUUUUGUUCGGGAAGAAAUCCUCUGGGCUAAUACCCCGGGGGGAUGACGGUACCGGAAGAAUAAGCACCGGCUAACUACGUG